CAGUCGCCGCGGUAAUACAGAGGUCUCAAGCGUUGUUCGGAUUCAUUGGGCGUAAAGGGUGCGUAGGCGGUCGGGUAAGUCGGAUGUGAAAUCCUGGGGCUCAACCUCAGAACUGCAUUCGAUACUGCUUGGCUAGAGGACUGGAGAGGAGACUGGAAUUCACGGUGUAGCAGUGAAAUGCGUAGAUAUCGUGAGGAAGACCAGCGGCGAAGGCGGGUCUCUGGACAGUUCCUGACGCUGAUGCACGAAGGCCAGGGGAGCAAACGGGAUUAGAUACCCCGGUAGUCCUGUCUCUUAUACA
rnacentral:rRNA from 1 species